rnacentral:lncRNA from 1 species
GCAAUAAACUUACUUAAAGUCACCCCAGGAAAGAAAACUAUCAAGAAAUUGGACUCGUCUAUACAGAGAUGCACGAUUUCUCCUUCAGCUCAGCUUCUCCCCAAGCGGCAGCAAAGCCAGAACAACUUCCUAAUUAGCCCUGGAAUUGCCCCCAGGCAAGCUGCAGAUGAGUUGCCCUUGAAGUACAGCCCCAAGGACAGACGUGUUCAGAGGCAUCUCCUGCAGCUUUCGCACGAAAACAGAGCCAUCCAUCGGAAUGGUCAGCACCAGCCGUGGCGGAUCCAGGCCACCUAUAACCACAGCCUCAGCGUUUGUGUGCCCCUGGGGACCCGGCAGACGAGGAUUUCCUCUGCGCUUCUGCUCCUGGCCUGCUGUGGGGCUGUAGGAAGUCAUUUUGCAGCUGUCUGCCUCAGUUUCCCCCACACGACUCUUGAUCCCCGCGCGAGGGAGGGAGGCAGCCAGCGCCGGUGCCUUGCUGCACAGCCCUGCCGAGAUCCCCACCAGUGCUUCCCCCAGCGAAUCCCCCCCGAGGCAAGCAGCAAGAAAAGUCCCCACCACCUGCAUUUUUGGGGCCAGACUUUCUUCAUGGAGAACUGCUUGCAAGAAACACAUUAUGCUCUGGAGUCUGGUGGCCCUAAAUAUUAG